rnacentral:rRNA from 1 species
AUUCCGAUUGAUCCCGUCGGACCCCACUGCUAUCGAGGUGGGACUAAGCCAUGCUAGUCGCGCGCGUCCAACCAUGAGGACGAGCGGCAUACCGCUCAGAAACACGUAGCUAACCUACCCUCGGGACAAGGAUACCCCCGGGAAACUGGGGCUAAUCCGUGAUAGGUGUGGAGGCCUGGAAUGGUUCCACGCCCAAAGGCACGGCAGUCAUGUUUGUCGUGUGCCCGAGGAUGGGGCUGCGGCUGAUCAGGCAGUUGGCGAGGUAACGGCUCACCAAACCUUUGACCAGUACGGGCCAUGAAAGUGGUAGCCCGGAGAUGGGCACUGAGACAGGGGCCCAGGCCCUACGGGGCGCAGCAGGCGCGAAAACUCCACAAUGUACGAAAGUACGAUGGGGUUACCUCGAGUGCAGUCCGAUAAGGGCUGCUUUUCCAUAGAGUAAUAUCCUGUGGGAAUAAGAGGGGGGCAAGACUGGUGUCAGCCGCCGCGGUAACACCAGCCCCUCGAGUGGUGGGGACUAUUAUUUGGCCUAAAGCGUCCGUAGCUGGCUGUAUCCGUCCCCCGUUAAAUCCAGCGUCCUAAGCGUUGGACCGCGGGUGAUACCAUACAGCUAGAGGGUGGGACAGGUGGGCGGUAUUUCUGGGGUAGGGGCGAAAUCCUUUGAUCCCAGGAGGACCACCAGUGGCGAAGGCUGCCCACUAGAACACGCCUGACGGUCAGGGACGAAAGCUGGGGCAGCGAACCGGAUUAGAUACCCGGGUAGUCCCAGCUGUAAACGAUGCUAGCUAGGUGUUGGGUCGGCCACGUGCCGCCCCAGUGCCGCAGGGAAGCCGUUAAGCUAGCCGCCUGGGGAGUACGGCCGCAAGGCUGAAACUUAAAGGAAUUGGCGGGGGAGCACCACCAGGCGUGAAGCCUGCGGUUUAAUUGGAGUCAACGCCGGAAAUCUUACCAGGAUCGACAGCAGGGUGAAGGCCAGAUUGAAGGUCUUGCUAGACGAGCUGAGAGGAGGUGCAUGGCCGUCGCCAGUUCGUGCCGUGAGGUGUCCUCUUAAGUGAGGUAACGAACGAGACCCGUACCCCAUGUUGCCAUCAGGGCCUAAAGGGCCGCUGGGCACUCUUGGGGGACCGCUGCCGACAAGGCUGAGGAAGGUGCGGGCAACGGCAGGUCAGUAUGCCCCGAAUAUCCUGGGCCACACGCGGGCUGCAAUGGUAGGGACAGAGGGCUGCAACAUCGAGAGAUGAAGCCAAUCCCUAAACCCUACCUCAGUUGGGAUCGAGGGCUGCAACCCGCCCUCGUGAACAUGGAAUGCCUAGUAACCGCGCGUCAUCAUCGCGCAGUGAAUACGUCCCUGCUCCUUGCACACACUGCCCGUCGAACCACCCGAAUGAGUUUCGGGUGAGGCGUGAUCGAAUGUUGGUCGCACCGAACCUGGGGCUCGUAAGGAGGGUUAAGUCGUAACAAGGUGGCCGUACCGGAAGGUGCGGCCGGAUCACCUCCU